ensembl:lncRNA novel transcript, antisense to DSEL
GCUUUUAGCUUUUUAUUUUUGUAUUAACAGGAGUCUUAUUACACAUAGGUCUGAUAAAACUGGUUUAUGAUCUUCAGUCUGUUUCCAGUGCUGCAUAACUAGAUAACGUAUGAAGGAAAAACGACGACGAACAAAAAAUUAAUUGCUUGGAAGACUUAGUUGAAUCUAUCCAUGAAAACAGAAUCAAUUAAACAUGUAUGUGUUACUUAGACUAAAUAUAAAUAACCCAUAUAAAUGGUAGCUCAAACAUCUCAAGUGUUUCAGAGAAUGUUAGAAUCUAUUGUUUGAAGUGUCUAUUGUACUCUAUGCAAGUUCUGUUUCCAAACAUUAGUAUUAGUUGGUGAUAUUUCCCCUUCAUAGGGAAGGUAAAAAAGGUUUGUAGAGGUGGCAAACAAUAUUUGGUUUAAACUAGCAGGAGACAAAGGAAUUCCAAGAAAGGCAAAAAUCCUUUCAGUAGUUUUCUGAGGAAAAUGCACAAUAUCUUCAAACUUGACCAGCUGGUAGCUAGUAGGCAGCAAAUCUGUAUUUAUUCUCAAGGCUGCUGCUGUAUUUGC